rnacentral:sRNA from 1 species
AUGAAAAACAAACCUUUGGAUCGUGGCUCACGGCGGCUCCGGUUUGUUUCCAAGCUCCGACGAACUCUUCUUCUUCGAAAUCGUUCUGCUCCGGCGAUUUGUGUGGCGGUGGUGGAGGUUCGGCGUGAAGGAAGAGAGGAAGCAGAGGAAUGGCGUGAGCCGAUGAUCUGUGUGGCAGUGGUGGAGGUUCGGCGUGUGAAGGAAGAGAGGAAGCAGAGCAAAUGGUUCGGCGUGAAGGAGGUUUUUGUGAGCGUGAAGGAGAUUGAAGGAAGCUGUGUGCGUGGGAGCCUUUUUUCCUUCUUUUUUUUUCGCUGUGUGGAAGUUCAGCGUGAAGGCUUUUUGUGUGUUCCUUUUUUAAUUUUGACGUGACGAGCUCUCAUUGGCAUGGCGUAAAACACUGGUUUUACGCCACGCCCGGACACAAUGUUUUCUCAUUAUCUUUAUCUCAUUUUUAAAUAUUAUUUCACUAAACCCAAAAUAAAAAAUAAAAAAGAGUCUAUAGCAAGCGCAUAUUAGUAGUAUAUAUAUAACAAGACAAUCUUUGGAUUGGGUAAAAGAGGGGUGCCUAACACUGUUUCUUCUUUGCACAUUUAUUCCCAGACACAAAGUGAGGCUUCUAGGGGAGUGAUGACUCCAUAUUAUUAAUUCUAUAUAAAAUUCAAAUCCCACAUAACAAUAGUUAUGGGCUUGAAAUACCUCAAUUAACAUAUCCUUAAGACUCAAAUGUAGAACGAUGUAGGAAACACAGUAUCCUUGAAUAAUAUUUAUUACACAACUCAAAAUAACAAAAGAGACUUGUAAUUUCCAUCUAGUAAGUCUUGCUUCCGCAAUUGAAUCUGAAAUCAUAGUAUGGUAAAAGAACAUUAAAACUGGUUAGACAUAAAUGAAUUAAGUUACUAAAGAAGAAUUUAGAAGAAGGUGCUUCUAGUAAAACAAGUGGUUAAAAAUAUAAAAAGUGAUGUUUAAUGCACAAAUGGAAAACAACAAAAUAUAAAAGCAUAUUAUAUAUGGUUGUGUGAUGCAAAAGGGACAACACGGACUUUCCUUGAACAGAAAGACUGUCAGAAGUUAAAACACAAAAAUUUCAACAAGUAGGAAGGUACUAGUAGAAAUUAUUGAAGCUAACAACAAAAUUUCGUGAAAUUUGGUAACUUGAAAGGAAUCAUCAUGCGGAUCAAAACUCAUCACCUUACAGCCAUAAUCUAUGUUGCUUUUUGGAAGAAUGAGUUCAAUUUUUUAAAAAUUAUAUUUAAGAUAUGGGUAAAAUGUAUUAACACUUCUCCUACUAAUCUAUCUCUUCAAAACAAAUUUAUCCUUUUUUUUUUUAAAGAAAAAUUAUGACAUUAGACAAAAAAAAAAAAAAAAAGCCUAAUUGCACACGCAAAGCGCAUGUGAUGAGGCAAGUGUUAAAAUAUCUGGGUUUUUAUUUAUUUAUUUAUUUAUUAGAGAGUUUCAACCUAUAGCAUCUGCUCCUGAUGAUAACUUUAUCAUCAGACCAAGAUAUCAAUCAAUUUUUGGUGUAGGCGGGGAUUAAAUCCCAGAUUUCUUAUUCAACCAUAAGAAACUUUACUAAUUGAACUAACUGGAAUCUACGAAAGUUAAUAUAUCUAGUUUUGGAUGGGAGUAAAUAAAUUGAAUCAAUACUUAAGUAAGGUAAAAAUACUAUAUAGUAUAUUUUCCUAAACAAUGUUUUAUUUAAAUGGGGAGCUAUUUAAAAUGAUAAAUUAUUAAAUUUGAUAAAAUUAGAUUAUAAGAUAGGUGCCUUUGUUUUUUGUGAAAUAACGUUCCUUGGUUACUUUUUAUGAGCUUUCAAAACAAUUAUUAUGUAAAUAAAUAUUGCGCAACCUUUUGUAAAUUCAUCCAAAGUCAUAAGAGUUGUUAUGCACAUGGAUGUGUGAUAGUACUCUUUAAAAGUCAAAAUAUCUUAUUCUACUAAUGAAAAAUGAUCUUUCAUGUUUAAACACUCUACUUUUGUCGUCAAGCUAAGCUCGAACAUUCACUAUUUAACGAAGUUUGGCUUGUUUAUUAGCCUACUUUUAAGUCAAACAUAUGGAAGUAUAAUAAGAGAAAAAUAAAUUGAAAUUUAGAGUAGAGUUUCAUUCAAGAUUUUGCUCAUCCCAAAAAAGAAAAAUUGCCUAGGGCCAGCCUUAGGCCUGGGCCACUUAGGCCAUAGCAUAGGGCCCCAACUAGAGAAAAUCUGUAAACGUGGGGAGAUUAAGUGAUUUUUUUUAUUUUUUUUUUUUUUUUUUGUCAAAUGUGAAUUAUAUAUAUAUAUAUAUAUAUAUGUGUGUGUGUGUGUGUGUGUGUGUGUAUGUAUAUUUUCAUCUAGUCUUAUUAGCCUCUAAGCACGCGUGAUGCACAUGUUCAAAAACUCUUGUUUUUUGGUAAAAGUUACUUAUUUGCAUUUAAUAUAAUUUGAAAAAAAAAUUAUUUUUCAGACAAAUAAAAAAGAUAAACUUUAGAGAUAAAUAGUAACUGUGAUCUUUUUUGAACAUGAAGGGAAAAAAAAAUCCUAAAUUUUAGGAAUUCUUUUUUUUAAUUCAAAAUGAAAUUUGUUAUUUGACAUUUAUGGCUCUAUUUCUAAAUGAAGUUACCCUUCAUUAAUGAGAGUAUUUUUGAACCACAUAAAAGUCUAGUUCAAAGAGAUGAAUCCUUUUAUAUAUAGUAUAGAUUAAGGCUAAAAAAUUAUAGAUUAAUAGAAAUCUAGCCAGAUUACCUUUAAUUUUGAAUUUUAAAUUUUUAUAAACCAUUAAGUAAAUUACUCAUUUUGAAAAGUCAAAAUAAUGAAUUUUAAUAAUAAAAAAAAAAAUAUAAAACAUUAACUAUUCAAAGAAGAGCGAGGAAUGAAUUAGUAAGAACAAGUGAGUUGAUUAAAGUUAAGAGAACAAAAAAAAAAAGUAGAGGAAGACAAAAAAUGACUUCAGUAGAUGUAAGGGGAAAAAAAAAAUUUAAAUAGGAAAGUAACAAAGAGCAUGACUUCACAUAGGAUAAAAUGGAGAAAAUAAAUUCAUGUGACUGGCCCAAUCUAAUCUGUUAAAAAUAUAUAAACAACCCCAAAUUUUGAGACUGGUGCUCUAUCGUUGUUGUAUAAUAUAGAACAUUAACUAAAUAUUAUCUAAAUGAUAUUUAAACAAAAAUACUCAUUUAUAAUUGUUAGGCUUCAAAUAGCUUUGAAAUGACCCUAAACCAUCUAUAUUUUGUGUGUCACGUUGACCAAUAAUGACAAAAAAAAAAAAAAAUAAAUAAAGAGAGAGACCUCAUAGAAGCAUGAGGAAACCAUGUGAGUCUAGAGCUUAGAGAAAGAUGGUGAGGAUUGUGUCAUUUUUAGAAAGCAUAAUCGUAGGUUGCAAUUAAUUUAACUUGUAAAGUCUCUAAUGGUUGAAUAUUAAAAGAUUUUGAGUUCAAUUUUUACCUGCACUAAAAAUCAGUUGAAACUCUAUAAAAAAAAAAAGAGGUUAGGCUAUGUUAAAUGUGUAUUAAUUGUUGCUCUAAUUUCUUAAGGAUUGGAUGUGUUUAAAAUUUUAAAUCUCAUAAAUUUGUGAAUUUAUGUAUCUAGAAUUAAAAUAUAAUGUCACUUCAUCAAUAUCUCAAAGUUCAUCACAUGAAACAUUAUUUGAGCAAAUCCCACUUCCUUGCUCAACUGCAACUGUGGAAGUGCUUGCGUGCAGAAGAGCCAUGAUCUUUUGCCACGGAAAUCAACAUCUUUGACAUCGUUGUGGAGGGAGAUGCAGAAACUACCAUAAAAGCAAUUUUGGCAGCAGAUGAAAGCCACCCCGAGUAUGGUAUUGUAAUAAGUGAUGUUGUAGCUCUAGCUGAUAAUUUUCACUCUUGUAGCUUUUCUCAUGUCAAACGUAUUGGUAACUCUAUUGCUAAUUUUCUUGUUAGACGUUCUAAGUUUGGUAAUGAGCUGCAGGUAUGGAUGGAGUCCAUCCCUGACGAUUUAGCUCUCCUUGUAAUACGCAAUAAUGCAUAA